rnacentral:rRNA from 1 species
AGUGAACGCUGGCGGUAGGCCUAACACAUGCAAGUCGAACGGCAGCACAGUAAGAGCUUGCUCUUACGGGUGGCGAGUGGCGGACGGGUGAUGAAUACAUCGGAAUCUACUUUUUCGUGGGGGCUAACGUAGGGACACUUACGCUAAUACCGCAUACGACCUACGUGUGAAAGCAGCGGAUCUUCGGACCUUGCGCGAUUGAAUGUGCCGAGGUCGGAUUAGCUAGUUGGCGGGGUAAAGGCCCACCAAGGCGACGAUCCGUAGCUGGUCUGAGAGGAUGAUCAGCCACACUGGAACUGAGACACGGUCCAGACUCCUACGGGAGGCAGCAGUGGGGAAUAUUGGACAAUGGGCGAAAGCCUGAUCCAGCCAUACCGCGUGGGUGAAGAAGGCCUUCGGGUUGUAAAGCCCUUUUGUUGGGAAAGAAAAGCAGCAGGUUAAUACCCCGCUGUUCUGACGGUACCAAAAGAAUAAGCACCGGCUAACUUCGUG